rnacentral:rRNA from 1 species
GUCGAGCAGGAGAUGAGGUGCUUGCACCUUAUCUUAGCGGCGGACGGGUGAGUAAUGCUUAGGAAUCUGCCUAUUAGUGGGGGACAACAUUCCGAAAGGAAUGCUAAUACCGCAUACGUCCUACGGGAGAAAGCAGGGGAUCUUCGGACCUUGCGCUAAUAGAUGAGCCUAAGUCGGAUUAGCUAGUUGGUGGGGUAAAGGCCUACCAAGGCGACGAUCUGUAGCGGGUCUGAGAGGAUGAUCCGCCACACUGGGACUGAGACACGGCCCAGACUCCUACGGGAGGCAGCAGUGGGGAAUAUUGGACAAUGGGGGGAACCCUGAUCCAGCCAUGCCGCGUGUGUGAAGAAGGCCUUAUGGUUGUAAAGCACUUUAAGCGAGGAGGAGGCUACUGAGACUAAUACUCUUGGAUAGUGGACGUUACUCGCAGAAUAAGCACCGGCUAACUCUGUGCCAGCAGCCGCGGUAAUACAGAGGGUGCGAGCGUUAAUCGGAUUUACUGGGCGUAAAGCGUGCGUAGGCGGCUUUUUAAGUCGGAUGUGAAAUCCCCGAGCUUAACUUGGGAAUUGCAUUCGAUACUGGGAAGCUAGAGUAUGGGAGAGGAUGGUAGAAUUCCAGGUGUAGCGGUGAAAUGCGUA